rnacentral:rRNA from 1 species
UACGUAGGGUGCGAGCGUUAAUCGGAAUUACUGGGCGUAAAGCGUGCGCAGGUGGUUGUGUAAGCUUGAUGUGAAAUCCCCGGGCUUAACCUGGGAAUGGCAUUGAGGACUGCACGGCUAGAGUGUGGCAGAGGGGGGUGGAAUUCCGCGUGUAGCAGUGAAAUGCGUAGAGAUGCGGAGGAACACCGAUGGCGAAGGCAGCCCCCUGGGCUAACACUGACACUCAUGCACGAAAGCGUGGGGAGCAAAC